UGGGAUAGCUCAGUCAGUAGAGCAUGAGACUCUUAAUCUCAGGAUCAUGGGUUCGAGUCCCAUGUUGGCAA